GAUGAACGCUGGCGGCGUGCUUAACACAUGCAAGUCGAACGAAGCACUUUACCUUGAUUCCUUCGGGUUGAUUGGUACUGUGACUGAGUGGCGGACGGGUGAGUAACGCGUGGGUAACCUGCCCCAUACAGGGGGAUAACAGAUAGAAAUGUCUGCUAAUACCGCAUAAGACCACAGCGCCGCAUGGCGCAGGGGUAAAAACUCCGGUGGUAUGGGAUGGACCCGCGUCUGAUUAGCUAGUUGGUGGGGUAAAGGCCCACCAAGGCGACGAUCAGUAGCCGACCUGAGAGGGUGACCGGCCACAUUGGGACUGAGACACGGCCCAA
rnacentral:rRNA from 1 species